AGUUGUUUGAAUACUGAGGCAUACUCCUCAUUCCCAAAGUUCCUCAAGUAUCUCAUUCCCCAAGCCCCUCAAUGUGUCUCAUUCCCGCAGCACCUCUAGUCAUGUGUUUCAUUCCCUCCCCACCAUUGUCUCAUUCCUCCAGUCCCCCAUGUGUCUCAUUCCUCCAGUCCCCCAAUGUGUCUCAUUCUCCCUCCCAAUACCUCCAUUCAUGUGUCUCAUUGCUCCAGUGUGCCCAUGUGUCUCAUUCCCUCAGUUCCCUAUGUGUCUAAUUUCCCAAGUGUCCUUAUGUGUCUG